rnacentral:rRNA from 1 species
UCUGGGAUUAGAUACCCUGUUAUUUAAAAUGUAAUUAAAAAUACUUGAGUAGUAAUAGUUAUGGUCUUUAAACUUAAAAAAUUUGGCGGUAUUUUAGUCUAUUCAGAGGAACUUGUUUUGUAAUCGAUAAUCCGCGAUGUACCUCACUUAAAUUUGUUUAUCAAUUUAUAUACCGUCGUUAUAGAAUAUUUUAUAAGAAAAAUAAUUUUCAAUAAUUAAUAUAAUAAUAUAUGUCAGAUCAAGGUGUAGUUUAUAUUUAAGUAAUAAUGAGUUACAAUAAAUUUAUUUUUGGAUAUAGGCAUGAAAAAUCUAUUGAAAUUGGAUUUGAUAGUAAAAUUAAAUAGAUCAUUAAUUUGAUUUUAGCUCUAAAAUAUGUACAAAUCGCCCGUCACUCUCUGA